rnacentral:rRNA from 1 species
ACUACAUGUACAGGAUAGGUGGGAGGCUUUGAAACCAGGACGCCAGUUUUGGCGGAGCCAUCCUUGGGAUACCACCCUUGUAGUACUGGGACUCUAACCAUAGGCCAUGAAUCUGGUCUUGGGACACUGUCAGGUGGGCAGUUUGACUGGGGCGGUCGCCUCCCAAAAGGUAACGGAGGCGCUCAAAGGUUCUCUCAGUACGGUCGGAAAUCGUACGUAGAGUGUAAAGGCAAAAGAGAGCUUGAUUGCAAGACAUACAGGUCGAGCAAGGAUGAAAAUCGGACUUAGUGAUCCGGUGGUUCUGCGUGGAAGGGCCAUCGCUCAACGGAUAAAAGCUACCCUGGGGAUAACAGGCUUAUCUCCCCCAAGAGUCCACAUCGACGGGGAGGUUUGGCACCUCGAUGUCGGCUCAUCACAUCCUGGGGCUGUAGUAGGUCCCAAGGGUUGGGCUGUUCGCCCAUUAAAGUGGUACGCGAGCUGGGUUCAGAACGUCGUGUGACAGUUCGGUCCCUAUCCGUCGCAGGCGUAGGAAAUUUGAGAAGACCUGUCCUUAGUACGAGAGGACCGGGAUGGACGUACCUCUGGUGUACCAGUUGUCCUGCCAAGGGCAUGGCUGGGUAGCUA